UACGGAGGGUGCAAGCGUUAUCCGGAUUUACUGGGUUUAAAGGGUGCGUAGGCGGAUAUGUAAGUCAGUGGUGAAAUCUCCGGGCUUAACCCGGAAACUGCCGUUGAUACUAUAUAUCUUGAAUGCUGUGGAGGUAAGCAGAAUAUGUCAUGUAGCGGUGAAAUGCUUAGAGAUGACAUAGAAUACCUAUUGCGAAGGCAGCUUACUACGCAGAUAUUGACGCUCAUGCACGAAAGCGUGGGGAUCAAACAGG
rnacentral:rRNA from 1 species